GCUUUAUCUUAAUUGGAGCUCUCAGGCUCUUAUACGAUUUUGAUGGGAGAUCAGUAGAAAUAAGUCUUCUACUAUCAUAUUAAUCUUACUAGUACUUCCUAACUUUAUAUGUGUGGCUAGCUACUCUAGGGAUAACAGCGCAAUUUCUCCCGAAAGAUGGUAUUGGAGGGGAAGAUUGCGACCUCGAUGUUGGCUUUAGAUAUCCUAGAGGCGUAGAAGCUUCU
rnacentral:rRNA from 1 species